AUAUAUUUUAGGCAAAGCAGUCGAAAGACUGUGACGCAAAGCUAUAGGGCCUUUCAAAUGGCAGCCAGUUGCUAUU
rfam:Clostridium sp. CAG:7 genomic scaffold, scf182